rnacentral:rRNA from 1 species
UACGUAGGGGGCUAGCGUUGCUCGGAAUCACUGGGCGUAAAGCGCACGUAGGCGGCUUCUUAAGUCAGGGGUGAAAUCCUGGAGCUCAACUCCAGAACUGCCUUUGAUACUGGGAAGCUUCGAGUCCGGAAGAGGUGAGUGGAACUGCGAGUGUAGAGGUGAAAUUCGUAGAUAUUCGCAAGAACACCAGUGGCGAAGGCGGCGCACUGGUCCGGUACUGACGCUGAGGUGCGAAAGCGUGGGGAGCAAACAGG